GGAAGCGUGCCCGAAAGAUAAGGAUUUCCUUGAUAGGGAAAACAAUAGGGGUUCAAAUCCCCUCACUUCCU
rnacentral:tRNA from 1 species